rnacentral:rRNA from 1 species
GACAGAGGUGCCAAGCGUUAGGCGGAAUCACUGGGCUUAAAGCGUGUGUAGGCGGACUUGUAAGUACCUUGUGAAAUCCCACGGCUCAACCGUGGAACUGCUCGGUAUACUGCUUGUCUUGAGCCACUUAGGGGCUGUCGGAACAAACGGUGGAGCGGUGAAAUGCGUAGAUAUCGCUUGGAACGCCGAAGGUGAAAACAGGCUGCUGGGGUUGCGCCGACGCUGAGACACGAAAGCCAGGGGAGCAAACGGG